rnacentral:lncRNA from 1 species
UAAGGAACACCAGGCCAGAACCUCCCUGAACAGGGUCAGUUCUCUCUAUACAUUCCCAAGCUUUAAUAGCCUUCACUUGUACAACUGUAGAUUUAUUUUCUACAGGGUUCCCUCCUUGUUCUGUAACGGCAAGCACAGGUGCAAACCUGCUGUUCCCCAACAUUUGAAUGCUCCAUUUUGAAAUCUGAAUUUUUAUUAAUAAAGUAAUAACUACACCUUAACAAGGUACCCAAAAAUACUAGAUUGAAAUCUAUAAAAUGCUGCUGACAGAGCCCUUUUCUGAGUGUAAGUGCAUAAGUAUCCUUAAGACUAGCAAGAGCAUUCCCCAUAUCUCUGGUGGGGAAGGACAAGAUUGAUCUGCGUUGUCAGGCAACCAAUUGCAAACUAAAUAUAACACUUCUAAACGCUUGUGUAUCUCAAAUUCAUUAAACACAGAAACUAGAUAAAAGGGGUUCUGCAAACUCCCCAUACUCUUCUUUCUCCCACAGAGAGAGAGGACCAGCACCUGGAGGAGACUGUGACGUUUCUGGACAGGGACUCACUGCUGACGGCUGCCAUGUGCGACAGCAAGCAGGAGGGCCCUGGUGCCAGGGAGCCAGUUACACAUAUGGAACAUUCCUGACACAGAAAAAGCAUUCCACCUGCAGGAGAAAGACUGUCCAAAAGUAUCACACACAGCAAACUCAGGUGGCUGUGUCACCACUGGGGUGUGACCAGGCAGGGCCCACUGGAAGCACAGACUGUUCUGCCAGCACUAAACCAGGGGGAUAUGGGAUGCUGUCAACACACCUCAGGGUACAGAAGAUAAGACUAACGAGUCCCAAGCUUGAGGCCUUUGCAAGACAGAAAGAACACAGCGGAGAGUUUUAAUAAUUUGGGAAAGGUCAGCAUCCAGUCCUACCUUCACAAACCUGAGAUGUCAGCACAAAGAACCUCUGAGAACUUUGCCUGUGACUAGAGUGGACACUCCUUUUAGUGUGUUUGAGAUGUCAUGAGCAGCAAGUCAGAGCCAUAUGAAGUAGGAGUCACCCAACAGGAUGUAAUUUUUUUUUUUUUAAUCGUUUUCUGGAAUUAAUAUGAGCAACCAACUGUAAGAUGGAUUUCAGCUAGAAAUAUCUUUUAAAUUAGAAGCCACAACUGAGCAAAUA